GAUUACGGCUACCACCCUGAAUGCGCCCGAUCUCGUCUGAUCUCGGAAGCUAAGCAGGGUCAGGCCUGGUAAGUACUUGGAUGGGUGACCGCCUGAGAAUACCAGGUGCUGUAAGCU
rnacentral:rRNA from 1 species